UUAAGUUAUUAAGGGCGCACGGUGGAUGCCUUGGCACUAGAAGCCGAUGAAGGACGUUACUAACGACGAUAUGCUUUGGGGAGCUGUAAGUAAGCUUUGAUCCAGAGAUUUCCGAAUGGGGAAACCCAACAUGAGUUAUGUCAUGUUAUCGAUAUGUGAAUACAUAGCAUAUCAGAAGGCACACCCGGAGAACUGAAACAUCUUAGUACCCGGAGGAAGAGAAAGAAAAUUCGAUUCCCUUAGUAGCGGCGAGCGAAACGGGAAGAGCCCAAACCAACAAGCUUGCUUGUUGGGGUUGUAGGACACUCUAUACGGAGUUACAAAGGACGACAUUAGACGAAUCAUCUGGAAAGAUGAAUCAAAGAAGGUAAUAAUCCUGUAGUCGAAAAUGUUGUCUCUCUUGAGUGGAUCCUGAGUACGACGGAGCACGUGAAAUUCCGUCGGAAUCUGGGAGGACCAUCUCCUAAGGCUAAAUACUCUCUAGUGACCGAUAGUGAACCAGUACCGUGAGGGAAAGGUGAAAAGCACCCCGGAAGGGGAGUGAAAUAGAACCUGAAACCGUGUGCUUACAAGUAGUCAGAGCCCGUUAAUGGGUGAUGGCGUGCCUUUUGUAGAAUGAACCGGCGAGUUACGAUUUGAUGCAAGGUUAAGCAGUAAAUGUGGAGCCGUAGCGAAAGCGAGUCUGAAUAGGGCGUUUAGUAUUUGGUCGUAGACCCGAAACCAGGUGAUCUACCCUUGGUCAGGUUGAAGUUCAGGUAACACUGAAUGGAGGACCGAACCGACUUACGUUGAAAAGUGAGCGGAUGAACUGAGGGUAGCGGAGAAAUUCCAAUCGAACCUGGAGAUAGCUGGUUCUCUCCGAAAUAGCUUUAGGGCUAGCCUCAAGUGAUGAUUAUUGGAGGUAGAGCACUGUUUGGACGAGGGGCCCCUCUCGGGUUACCGAAUUCAGACAAACUCCGAAUGCCAAUUAAUUUAACUUGGGAGUCAGAACAUGGGUGAUAAGGUCCGUGUUCGAAAGGGAAACAGCCCAGACCACCAGCUAAGGUCCCAAAAUAUAUGUUAAGUGGAAAAGGAUGUGGCGUUGCCCAGACAACUAGGAUGUUGGCUUAGAAGCAGCCAUCAUUUAAAGAGUGCGUAAUAGCUCACUAGUCGAGUGACACUGCGCCGAAAAUGUACCGGGGCUAAACAUAUUACCGAAGCUGUGGAUUGUCCUUUGGACAAUGGUAGGAGAGCGUUCUAAGGGCGUUGAAGCAUGAUCGUAAGGACAUGUGGAGCGCUUAGAAGUGAGAAUGCCGGUGUGAGUAGCGAAAGACGGGUGAGAAUCCCGUCCACCGAUUGACUAAGGUUUCCAGAGGAAGGCUCGUCCGCUCUGGGUUAGUCGGGUCCUAAGCUGAGGCCGACAGGCGUAGGCGAUGGAUAACAGGUUGAUAUUCCUGUACCACCUAUAAUCGUUUUAAUCGAUGGGGGGACGCAGUAGGAUAGGCGAAGCGUGCGAUUGGAUUGCACGUCUAAGCAGUAAGGCUGAGUAUUAGGCAAAUCCGGUACUCGUUAAGGCUGAGCUGUGAUGGGGAGAAGACAUUGUGUCUUCGAGUCGUUGAUUUCACACUGCCGAGAAAAGCCUCUAGAUAGAAAAUAGGUGCCCGUACCGCAAACCGACACAGGUAGUCAAGAUGAGAAUUCUAAGGUGAGCGAGCGAACUCUCGUUAAGGAACUCGGCAAAAUGACCCCGUAACUUCGGGAGAAGGGGUGCUCUUUAGGGUUAACGCCCAGAAGAGCCGCAGUGAAUAGGCCCAAGCGACUGUUUAUCAAAAACACAGGUCUCUGCUAAACCGUAAGGUGAUGUAUAGGGGCUGACGCCUGCCCGGUGCUGGAAGGUUAAGAGGAGUGGUUAGCUUCUGCGAAGCUACGAAUCGAAGCCCCAGUAAACGGCGGCCGUAACUAUAACGGUCCUAAGGUAGCGAAAUUCCUUGUCGGGUAAGUUCCGACCCGCACGAAAGGCGUAACGAUUUGGGCACUGUCUCAACGAGAGACUCGGUGAAAUCAUAGUACCUGUGAAGAUGCAGGUUACCCGCGACAGGACGGAAAGACCCCGUGGAGCUUUACUGUAGCCUGAUAUUGAAAUUCGGCACAGCUUGUACAGGAUAGGUAGGAGCCUUUGAAACGUGAGCGCUAGCUUACGUGGAGGCGCUGGUGGGAUACUACCCUAGCUGUGUUGGCUUUCUAACCCGCACCACUUAUCGUGGUGGGAGACAGUGUCAGGCGGGCAGUUUGACUGGGGCGGUCGCCUCCUAAAAGGUAACGGAGGCGCUCAAAGGUUCCCUCAGAAUGGUUGGAAAUCAUUCAUAGAGUGUAAAGGCAUAAGGGAGCUUGACUGCGAGACCUACAAGUCGAGCAGGGUCGAAAGACGGACUUAGUGAUCCGGUGGUUCCGCAUGGAAGGGCCAUCGCUCAACGGAUAAAAGCUACCCCGGGGAUAACAGGCUUAUCUCCCCCAAGAGUUCACAUCGACGGGGAGGUUUGGCACCUCGAUGUCGGCUCAUCGCAUCCUGGGGCUGUAGUCGGUCCCAAGGGUUGGGCUGUUCGCCCAUUAAAGCGGUACGCGAGCUGGGUUCAGAACGUCGUGAGACAGUUCGGUCCCUAUCCGUCGUGGGCGUAGGAAAUUUGAGAGGAGCUGUCCUUAGUACGAGAGGACCGGGAUGGACAUACCUCUGGUGUACCAGUUGUCGUGCCAACGGCAUAGCUGGGUAGCUAUGUGUGGACGGGAUAAGUGCUGAAAGCAUCUAAGCAUGAAGCCCCCCUCAAGAUGAGAUUUCCCAACUUCGGUUAUAAGAUCCCUCAAAGAUGAUGAGGUUAAUAGGUUCGAGGUGGAAGCAUGGUGACAUGUGGAGCUGACGAAUACUAAUCGAUCGAAGACUUAAUC
rnacentral:rRNA from 1 species